rnacentral:lncRNA from 1 species
UCUCUCGUUUGUCUUCUCUCUCUAUCUUUAACUAAAUUAUAGUUAGCUAAUGGAUUUUCUUCCUCAGGAUGCUCUUCUAUUACUACUUCAUUUUCCUCUUCAGGUUCUUGGACCUGAAUCUCCACCUCACUCGAAGUACUAGGUACUGAUGUGUUAAAUUUUCCUAACUCCACCUUAAACCGAUUUCUUUCUUCACUUGAUUCAGUUUCACUUACAGGUUCGGUUUCGUUCUUUAGACAAGGCAUCUCACUCUCAUUAAAUGUGACAUCCCUACUCACGAUGAUCUUAACUCUUUUUUGGCUUCUAUCCUAUAGCCUAUAGCCUUUAACCCCUUCGGGAUAUCCUAGAAAGACAC